GCUCAGGACGAACGCUGGCGGCGUGCUAAUACAUGCAAGUCGAGCGGACAGAUGGGAGCUUGCUCCUGAUGUUAGCGGCGGACGGGUGAGUAACACGUGGGUAACCUGCCUGUAAGACUGGGAUAACUCCGGGAAACCGGGGCUAAUACCGGAUGCUUGUUUGAACCGCAUGGUUCAGACAUAAAAGGUGGCUUCGGCUACCACUUACAGAUGGACCCGCGGCGCAUUAGCUAGUUGGUGAGGUAACGGCUCACCAAGGCGACGAUGCGUAGCCGACCUGAGAGGGUGAUCGGCCACACUGGGACUGAGACACGGCCCAGACUCCUACGGGAGGCAGCAGUAGGGAAUCUUCCGCAAUGGACGAAAGUCUGACGGAGCAACGCCGCGUGAGUGAUGAAGGUUUUCGGAUCGUAAAGCUCUGUUGUUAGGGAAGAACAAGUGCCGUUCAAAUAGGGCGGCACCUUGACGGUACCUAACCAGAAAGCCACGGCUAACUACGUGCCAGCAGCCGCGGUAAUACGUAGGUGGCAAGCGUUGUCCGGAAUUAUUGGGCGUAAAGGGCUCGCAGGCGGUUUCUUAAGUCUGAUGUGAAAGCCCCCGGCUCAACCGGGGAGGGUCAUUGGAAACUGGGGAACUUGAGUGCAGAAGAGGAGAGUGGAAUUCCACGUGUAGCGGUGAAAUGCGUAGAGAUGUGGAGGAACACCAGUGGCGAAGGCGACUCUCUGGUCUGUAACUGACGCUGAGGAGCGAAAGCGUGGGGAGCGGACAGGAUUAGAUACCCUGGUAGUCCACGCCGUAAACGAUGGAUGCUAAGUGUUAGGGGGUUUCCGCCCCUUAGUGCUGCAGCUAACGCA
rnacentral:rRNA from 1 species